GAUUACUUGUGGCAGAAGAGCCAUCAUGAAAACCAUAAAGGACAGCUUUUUAGAGCGCUUCCAGAUAACUGAUCAUGAGGUUUCCGGGAGGAUGAUACAGCCUUUCCCUUAUGCCUUGUUCAUUUUUCUUUCUGGCUCUAUUUACUUGUUUACUUACUUAGGGUUUAUGAGACAGGGUCCCAUGUAGCCCAGAAGGCUCUGGAGUUUGUUAUGUUGCCAAGGAUAACUAUAAACUUCCAAUCAUUCUGUCUUCACCUUUCAGGUGCCACUAUACCCAGCAACUAUUUUCUUCUCCUAAUGGAUGAUUUGUUUAGAAACAGGACUUCCUGUAUAAAAUUAAGAAUUUGUUAAGUAAAAGUGGUCAUUUAAUUUCUCUUAGAGAAUGUGAGAGUUGAGACAGAGUCUAUGUAACAUGCUGGCUUUGAAUUCAUAAUCCUGGUUCAUUUGCCCAGCCUUGUGAGGGUUAGUGACUGGUUUUUUUUUUUUCGAGACAGGGUUUCUCUGUAUAGCCCUGGCUGUCCUGGAACUCACUUUGUAGACCAGGCUGGCCUCGAACUCAGAAAUCCGCCUGCCUCUGCCUCCCGAGUGCUGGGAUUAAAGGCUUGCGCUACCACGCCCGGCUUUAGUGUCUGGUUUUAUUGUAUUGUGUUACAUAUGCCUUGUUCGGUUGAUGACCCUGGGAGGAGGAGGUGGUGGGUUUGUGGGGUGGACCUGGAAGGAGAUGUAGGAUGAAGGGACUGAGAGAAAGGGAAGGAGGGGAAGUUGCAGUCAAGAUGUAUUGUAUGAAAGAAU
rnacentral:lncRNA from 1 species